GGACGAACGCUGGCGGCGUGCCUAAUACAUGCAAGUCGAACGAGCUCUCCCAAAUUGAUUUUAUGCUUGCAUAAAUGAUUUUUGGAUUCGGAGCGAGUGGCGAACUGGUGAGUAACACGUGGGUAACCUGCCCCGAAGCGGGGGAUAACAUUUGGAAACAAGUGCUAAUACCGCAUAAUUAGUUGGAACCGCAUGGUUCCAACUUGAAAGAUGGCUCUGCUAUCACUUUGGGAUGGACCCGCGCCGUAUUAGUUAGUUGGUGAGAUAAAAGCCCACCAAGACGAUGAUACGUAGCCGACCUGAGAGGGUAAUCGGCCACAUUGGGACUGAGACACGGCCCAGACUCCUACGGGAGGCAGCAGUAGGGAAUCUUCCACAAUGGACGAAAGUCUGAUGGAGCAACGCCGCGUGAGUGAUGAAGGUUUUCGGAUCGUAAAACUCUGUUGUUAAAGAAGAACAAGUGUUAGAGUAACUGUUAACACUUUGACGGUAUUUAACCAGAAAGCCACGGCUAACUACGUGCCAGCAGCCGCGGUAAUACGUAGGUGGCAAGCGUUGUCCGGAUUUAUUGGGCGUAAAGCGAGCGCAGGCGGUUUUGUAAGUCUGCUGUGAAAGCCCUCAGCUCAACUGAGGAAGUGCAGUGGAAACUACAAAACUUGAGUACAGAAGAGGAAAGUGGAACUCCAUGUGUAGCGGUGAAAUGCGUAGAUAUAUGGGAAGAACACCAGUGGCGAAGGCGGCUUUCUGGUCUGUUACUGACGCUGAGGCUCGAAAGCAUGGGUAGCGAACAGGAUUAGAUACCCUGGUAGUCCAUGCCGUAAACGAUGAAUACUAGGUGUUGGAGGGUUUCCGCCCUUCAGUGCCGCAGCUAACGCAUUAAGUAUUCCGCCUGGGGAGUACGACCGCAAGGUUGAAACUCAAAGGAAUUGACGGGGGCCCGCACAAGUGGUGGAGCAUGUGGUUUAAUUCGAUGCUACGCGAAGAACCUUACCAGCUCUUGACAUCUUCUGCCAACCCAAGAGAUUGGGCGUUCCCUUCGGGGACAGAAUGACAGGUGGUGCAUGGUUGUCGUCAGCUCGUGUCGUGAGAUGUUGGGUUAAGUCCCGCAACGAGCGCAACCCUUAUUAUUAGUUGCCAGCAUUUAGUUGGGCACUCUAGUGAGACUGCCGGUGAUAAACCGGAGGAAGGUGGGGACGACGUCAAAUCAUCAUGCCCCUUAUGAGCUGGGCUACACACGUGCUACAAUGGAUGGUACAACGAGUCGCGAAACCGCGAGGUCAAGCUAAUCUCUUAAAGCCAUUCUCAGUUCGGAUUGCAGGCUGCAACUCGCCUGCAUGAAGUUGGAAUCACUAGUAAUCGUGGAUCAGCAUGCCACGGUGAAUACGUUCCCGGGCCUUGUACACACC
rnacentral:rRNA from 1 species